GAAAAAAAGAAAAAAAGAAAAAAAAGAGCUUGGUUUGGCAGUUCAAACCUUUUCUUUUGCUAAAAAGGUUUCCCAUGAAUGCAUACUAAAAAGGCUUAAAGCAAUCACAAAACCAUCUGAAAAAUGAGUUCACUGGACUCGCCUACAAUUCAUUGGAUGUUAUAGCAUUUUCAAACCGGUUAAACUCUGUCUUCGAGGCUUCGUCAUAGUUUUCAACUUUCUUUUUAUGUUUCUUAGCCCCACCCAAAGGGGAAGGGGGAGGGGGAAAGGAUGAGGUAUGGCAACACUGCCUACAUUGGAGCACUAUGAAAAGAGAGACUGAGAGAAAGAAAAAUAAGGAAAAAAUAAAAAAUAGGCAUAGCUUCAUGCUAUAUUCCUCUCAACUCAGGUUGUCUUUCCACUUUCUAGAGCCUUCAAUCUAUAUAUUAUCAUCAGAGCACCUUUCUAGCCCUUGGCAGUUUGCACUCAGGUAAAUCAGUGAAAUUCUUGUUUCUUAUCAGAAAAAGAAAUUAGAAGUGCUGCAAUGUCGCUAUAAGGAAAAGAAAGGUAACACUUAUAUUGACCAUAGACAUCAAUCAACAAAAUCACUAUCAAGCUAUAUAACACUUUCUGUGAUAGAUAUCAUCUAGAUCAUCCGCAGCAUAAACAUACAUUUAAAAAGCCCAUAAAAUUUAUCUUCAUGUCAAGUGAAGUCAAUAUUAAGUCUCGAAGAUACGGAUCAAAAUGGUAAAGAGAUAGCGCAAAGCAUAAGGUAGGUAUUGCACUACUAUUAGCUAAAUUACCGAAACAACAUGGUUAAGACUGAAUUAAGACCAGAUGACCUAAAUGUUUAACCUCAAAGCACUACGAAUCCAGAGUUUGAAGACUUGAUCACCCUUGAAUCAAGUGAAUUUAGCACCUGCUUUUAUGCUAAUUUUGUUUUAAAGACAACAGCCAUAGAUGUGUUUAACAGUAUGAAGAACUUUUUUACUGAACAUUUCAGAUGUUAUUGUAUUAUCCAACUCCAUAAAAAGUUUUUUUCAGGGAACCAUAUCAAGUCAUUUCCAUAUAUUAUUAGGAAGCAAAAUUCAAAGACAACGAAUUGCAAGUACUGAAAUUUAUUAAAAAGCUCUCAUUUUUCAUGUGUAAACAUUAUUAAAUUAGAUGCAUUCUGUAUAUAAACUUUAAAAUUAGAUUCAACACAAUUAUGAGAUGAUAACUAUGUUUAUAUGGAAAUUCAACUCCAAAGCCAAAUCCCAAAUACGCAACAGAAAUAUCAAAACCCCAUAUAUGCAAUUAAUCAAACACUAAAACAAUUAAGACCAAUUUCUCAAACCAAAAAAAAAAAAAA
rnacentral:misc_RNA from 1 species